rnacentral:rRNA from 1 species
AUUGAACGCCGGCGGCAUGCCUUACACAUGCAAGUCGAACGGUAACGCGGGGCAACCUGGCGACGAGUGGCGAACGGGUGAGUAAUGCAUCGGAACGUGCCUGGUAGUGGGGGAUAACUGCUCGAAAGAGCAGCUAAUACCGCAUACGACCUGAGGGUGAAAGGGGGGGAUCGCAAGACCUCUCGCUAUCAGAGCGGCCGAUGUGGGAUUAGCUAGUUGGUGGGGUAAAGGCCCACCAUGGCGACGAUCCGUAGCUGGUCUGAGAGGACGACCAGCCACACUGGGACUGAGACACGGCCCAGACUCCUACGGGAGGCAGCAGUGGGGAAUUUUGGACAAUGGACGCAAGUCUGAUCCAGCCAUGCCGCGUGCGGGAAGAAGGCCUUCGGGUUGUAAACCGCUUUUGUCAGGGAAGAAAUCUUCUGGGUUAAUACCUCGGGAGGAUGACGGUACCUGAAGAAUAAGCACCGGCUAACUACGUGCCAGCAGCCGCGGUAAUAC